CGGAAAGCACAGUUGAGACCCGGGAAAAGGAAAGGUGGAGGGACAGGUGUGUCUUGGGAUAUAUCUAGAAGAUGUGAUUUCUUCACUGACUUCUCCGAGUUUUAAAUGGAAAGACUCCAGCCGAUCCUCAGUCAUGUGAUUGGAGGUUUUUUGAAUGAUACUGCUUCUUUUUCUAUCUUGUUUGAUUUUCUCCCGCUUGACCUUUUCCUGGUUAAAAAUCUGGGGGAAAAUGACGGACUCUAAGCAAGUCACCAAGAGUAAAUCAGAAGGGAGCUGUAUCCCAAGCCGGGAGCCCUUUCCAGCCUCAGACAGCUCAGGGGAGCCACCCCAGAAAAUCGAGGACCGCAGCCCUCCACCAGAGACUCCUGACCAGGCUGAGCCAGCCUCCCACAAAGGUCCCAAAGAUGCCUGUCGGCAAAGAACUUCCAGGCCACCCCCACACCAGAACCCCCCAGGAAACCCCUGUUCCUCGGAUAGCACCCCCGCAGCUCUCCAAGCCAAUGGGACAGGGACCAAAGGCCUGAAGACCCCGGAUACCAAUGGCCUGUCAUCUCCAGCCAAGCCCCAGGGCCAGCGAGCCAGACCCCUCUCCAAAGAAGACGAAAAGCAGGAGCACAUCAAGAGGCAGCUGAUGACCAACUUCAUCCUGGGCUCCUUUGAUGACAACUCCUCAGAUGAGGACCCUGGCGCUGGCUUGUUCCGAGAGUCUUCCUGGAAGGACAGCCGGGCCAGCCUGGGGACCCUGUCCCUGGAGGCUGCUCAGACUGUAGGCGAGUUCGAGAACCCAGUCCCUGCUAUGA